GCCUAACACAUGCAAGUCGAACGGGGUAACUCCUUCGGGGGGUUACUUAGUGGCGGACGGGUGAGUAACGCGUGAGCAACCUGCCUUUCAGAGGGGGAUAACGUUUGGAAACGAACGCUAAUACCGCAUAAAACAGCAGUACGGCAUCGUACAACUGUCAAGGGAGCAAUCCGCUGAAAGAUGGGCUCGCGUCCGAUUAGUUAGUUGGUGAGGUAACGGCUCACCAAGACGAUGAUCGGUAGCCGGACUGAGAGGUUGAACGGCCACAUUGGGACUGAGACACGGCCCAGACUCCUACGGGAGGCAGCAGUGGGGGAUAUUGCACAAUGGGCGAAAGCCUGAUGCAGCAACGCCGCGUGAGGGAAGACGGUUUUCGGAUUGUAAACCUCUGUCUUCGGUGACGAAUAAUGACGGUAGCCGAGGAGGAAGCCACGGCUAACUACGUG
rnacentral:rRNA from 1 species